AUCAACCUGCUCCAGGAACCACGCUGUCGUCAGCCAACAUAAACACACAAGCAUGUGUUGCCACUCCUGUGUGACCUGGUAAAGUCACAUCACCGUACAGUUUGCCUGUUGCCAUGUCCAACUCCACACUUGGUGUGAUUGCCAUUUCAUCCAAGGUCAACACACACUCCCUUUCAAGUGUUCUUAUUCCUGGCAGGGGAAUCUGCAAUUCCUGCAGAGUUUUGUAACCGGUUGGUCCGGCAGCAAAGCGAAUUUUUAAAGUCUUCUUAAUUGUCUCAUUGCUCCA